UACGUAGGUGACAAGCGUUGUCCGGAUUUACUGGGCGUAAAGAGCGCGCAGGCGGUCGUUCAAGUCGAGUGUGAAAGCCCCCGGCUCAACUGGGGAGGGUCACUCGAUACUGAUCGACCGAAGGCAGGAGAGGGAAGUGGAAUUCCCGGUGUAGUGGUGAAAUGCGUAGAUAGUCGGGAGGAACACCAGUGGCGAAGGCGACUUCCUGGCCUGUUCUUGACGCUGACGG
rnacentral:rRNA from 1 species